rnacentral:lncRNA from 1 species
AUUUAACACCAGCAUCCUGGUUGGCCAAGGCAGCAGGGAGGCCACAAAUGAAAGUUCUCCUCCUCCCGUGGGCCUUCUUCAAUGGGAUGAAAGAAGAUUGACUUCAAGGCUGAUGUUCAGAGACCACAGAAACAAGUUGAACACAGUGUCAGCUCCCCCAGUCACCCUCUGCACACCAAAACCACAAGACCUCACUGGAGCAGCCUCACCCAGGAUGGUUCUGGCCUACAGGGAUAACACAGCAAAGCGAGAAACUGUGUGAAAUUUUGUUUUCUUUAAAACAAGCAGAGUCUUCUAAAUCUUUUCUGAAUUUCCCUUUUACCAUCAUGGUGGGGUUUGUUACGAAGUGAUCUGCAAAUAACAAGUGACAAAAGCAA